CUGGAAACUAACUGGAUUUGCAGCGUAUAUGGGCUUUCCYAGGCCUUUGGCCUGAUCCAGUCUGCUUGGCCUUACAGCUACUGAAGAUCAUGAACAGAAACUCAAGAUGAAAUUUCAAAGGCAUCUGGGAUAAAAACUGAUUUCAGACACUGAAUUGUAUUGACACUGUGUUCAUAUAAUAAGUGGCAGAAGAACAAAUACGUAUUGGAGUCAAUGAACAUAAUUAAGACUAGAUGGUUGAUCCGCUAAAACACACUUCAGUGGCAGAACAGCUUCUGAAGAGAAAAUUUCAAGUAUCUUUCUAUAGCUGGUGACUGCAGAUGUGACUGCUUGGAAACAUGAUUAAAAUGGAACUGAAGAUCUCAAAAGACCAAAGAUGAUAACAUCAGGAAUGACCUUGAAAUCAGGAUCACUUUGGUGGGGU